rnacentral:misc_RNA from 1 species
GAUGAAGAACGUAGCGAAAUGCGAUAAGUAGUGUGAAUUGCAGAAUUCAGUGAAUCAUCGAAUCUUUGAACGCACAUUGCGCCCUUUGGUAUUCCUUAGGGCAUGCCUGUUCGAGCGUCAUUUAAACCUUCAAGCUCAGCUUGGUGUUGGGUGACUGUCCGCUUCACCGCGGACUCGCCUCAAAAUUAUUGGCGGCCGGUACAUUGGCUUCGAGCGCAGCAGAAACGCGAACUCGGGCCCGUCGUAUUGGCUCCCAGAAGCUAUCUUCACAAUUUUGACCUCGGAUCAGGUAGGGAUACCCGCUGAACUUAAGCAUAUCAUAGCGGAGGA